rnacentral:rRNA from 1 species
GAUGAACGCUGGCGGCGUGCCUAAUACAUGCAAGUAGAACGCUGAAGGAAGGAGCUUGCUCUUUCCGGAUGAGUUGCGAACGGGUGAGUAACGCGUAGGUAACCUGCCUGGUAGCGGGGGAUAACUAUUGGAAACGAUAGCUAAUACCGCAUAACAGUAGAUAUUGCAUGAUAUCUGCUUGAAAGGGGCAAUUGCUCCACUACCAGAUGGACCUGCGUUGUAUUAGCUAGUUGGUGAGGUAACGGCUCACCAAGGCGACGAUACAUAGCCGACCUGAGAGGAUGAUCGGCCAGACUGGGACGGAGACACGGCCCAGACGCCUACGGGAGGCAGCAGUAGGGAAUCUUCGGCAAUGGACGGAAGUCUGACCGAGCAACGCCGCGUGAGUGAAGAAGGUUUUCGGAUCGUAAAGCUCUGUUGUAAGAGAAGAACGAGUGUGAGAGUGGAAAGUUCACACUGUGACGGUAUCUUACCAGAAAGGGACGGCUAACUACGUG